rnacentral:rRNA from 1 species
CCUACGGGAGGCAGCAGUGAGGAAUAUUGGUCAAUGGACGAGAGCCUGAACCAGCCAAGUAGCGUGAAGGAUGACUGCCCUAUGGGUUGUAAACCUCUUUUAUAUGGGAAUAAAAUGCUCCACGUGUGGGGUUUUGCAUGUACCAUAUGAAUAAGGAUCGGCUAACUCCGUGCCAGCAGCCGCGGUAAUACGGAGGAUCCGAGCGUUAUCCGGAUUUAUUGGGUUUAAAGGGAGCGUAGGCGGAUUGUUAAGUCAGUUGUGAAAGUUUGCGGCUCAACCGGAAAAUUGCAGUUGAAACUGGCAGUCUUGAGUACAGUAGAGGUGGGCGGAAUUCGUGGUGUAGCGGUGAAAUGCUUAGAUAUCACGAAGAACUCCGAUUGCGAAGGCAGCCCGCUGGACUGCAACUGACACUGAGGCUCGAAAGUGUGGGUAUCAAACAGGAUUAGAUACCCCGGUAGUC